ensembl:lncRNA
AUGAGCCACAGGGAAGUCAAGCCAAGCUCCAGAGGCAUCAGAGCUGGGUCUGAGCUGCUACCCUGUACUGUCCAUUGGAGUGAUCCACAGAAAAGUCAAGCCAAGCUCCCAAGGCAUGAGAGCAGGGCCUGGGCAGCUGUCCUGUACUGCCUAUUGACUAUCUGGGACUAAUGACAGAUGAACAAAGUCCAUUAUGAGUCUGGGAAAGAGGACCUAGAGUCACAGAUGCCAGAUCACUGGAAUCAAACCGGCAAAAGGUUCAACAAUCCAUCCUUCAUAGGAUCUAGUCUCUCAGUGCUGGCCCUUCUCAGGCUGGACGUGACAGGCGGCAGCUGAUUGAGCCAAAUGAGGCCCAGGGAGAAGUGGGAAGAGACCUGUUCGCUGAUCUGCAGCCUGGCCUCAUGCCGGGGAGGGUGGAGCUGACAGCCCUUUCUGCCAGCUGUCUCUGCACUGCCUCCAGGAGACCAGCAGCUUUUUCCAGCUGGGUUCUACAGAAGCAGAAACCAAACUUGCCGAGCAAACUCGGAGCUGCUCUUCAACAUGGACCUAUAGUCUCUUCGAGCUUAUUUUACAGAUGAAGAAUUGAGACAAAGGGGAUUAAGUGACUUGCCUGAGGUCACAUGUCUAUGGCCAGAUUUGAAUUCCAGAAGAUGAGUUUUACUGAUUCCAAGCCCAGUGCUUUAUCCACUACCCCACUGAACUGGACUUCUUCACUUUUAGAAUAACACUCAUAAAAGGGAUGAUGCAUCAUUUAAAAGCAGGCAAUGUGGAAAAUUUUUGCCCAGACCAAACUCAUAGAAAUCCAGUCUUGCCCAUGUGAUCCUGGACACAUUCUCCUGUCCCUGGGCCUUAGUUUCUUGCUCUUAUAAAAUAGGAAGUCUUGAUUCUUUGACCUCUAAAACCUCUUACAAUUCUCAAUUCUGGGAUUUCUUUCUAAGCAAAGGAUGUAAGAACUUCUUAAUUAUCUGAGGGUUCAAAGGAGAUGACUCCAAUUCUUUCUCCAUUUGUACUUCAGGAAAAAUUCCCUUAUUUAUUCAUGUAAAUGAAGGAGUGCCACAAGAUACCAAGGGAAUAAGCCAUUGGGAUAAGAACUGAGAAAAGAGAGACUGGGCAAUGUUGUGGAAAUAAAGAGAAUGGAACUUGAGGUCAGCAGAAAGCUGGUUCAAAUCCAACUUUGGACAUUGGCUCAUAUAUGUGAUGAUGGCCAAGACGCUUGCCCUCUCUGAGAUAUGAUCUCUACAUUUGCAAGUUGCAUUGAAGAUGCUGAGCCCCUGUGGGAGAAAAAUAAUACAAUAGGGCUGUCCAGCCUUAUCUUCUUCUUCCUCAUUCCCGUUAAGUCAUUUGCUGUAACAUGUAAUAAAAAUUUUACCCAGCAGGUGGGGAUAAUUACCUACAGCUCAUAUUUUUAGAUAAUAAUAGUCUUUCAAAUGAUUCUUUCAUUAGACACAGGGCAAGACUUUUUUUUUUUAAACCAGUGUUUCUUUUAACUCUUGUGUGUGGUAGAUGAUAGAAAUGCUUUGGAAUGCUAGCAUUUCCAAGCCUUUAACUGCUAUGGGGUAUUUAAUUUAUAGCAACUCCCCAAGAAGUUUCUAAGGACCCAGCCGUAUCUGAUUCUGCAGAGAAUGGUUUGGUCUAGUGAUGACAAGAUCCACAUUUUCAUUGUUAAUAUCCUUUGCCUUGGAAGAGCCUGGAUUUUUCCCCAUUUCCUUCAGCAUCCAGAAGUAAUGAUGUCAGUAUAAGUAGGAAGAACUUCAAACUUCCAGUAACUCCCACAACUCUACCUAAUGCAAUCAAUCAGAAAUAUCAAAAAAAUACUUAUUAUGUGCUGGGGUUUGUGUUGGGCCUGGAAGAUACAGUCCAAUCUCUGCCUUCCUCAAGCUUACCUUCUACUCCUUUUGCUCCAGAUUUAGCUUAAAUCAAUUAUGCAAACAUUUAAGAAGCCUUAAGUCUGUGUCUGUACAGAAUUGCUUCCUCUGGAUUCAUUCUGUCAAUUGUGUUGUUUUGGCAGUCAGAUUAUUAACUAAAAUUUAUCAUCCAAAUAUUUUGACAGUGCUUAGGCCCAGGUUGUACCAGAAUAGAACUGUAUUGUGAUGGACUUUUAGUUGGUUGUUUUCUGAGGCCCAGCAUUUCUUUUCAAGUUAUCUAAUGGUUUCUUGUAUUAAAAAAUGUAUCAUGAAUCAGAACAUUUUCUACUGUGCUCCUCUAUAUUACUUAACAGAAAUCCUUGCCAAAAAAAUUUUAAGGACCUUAAAAUACAUUCCUUUCUUCUGAAAUAGGACACCUUUGUGCUGUAGACCCCUUUGACAGUCUGAUGAAGCCUAGGAUGAAACCCUUUUCCAUAAUAAUGCAUUUCAAUGCAUGUUGUUUUUAUGCUUGGUCAUUUCAAUUAUGUUCAACUCUUUGUGACUUCACUGGGGUUUUCUAGGAAAAGAUAGUGGAAUCAUUUGUCAUUUCCUUCUCCAGCUGAUUUGACAGAUGAGGAAACUGAGGCAGAUUAAAGUGACUUGUUCAGGCAAGCAGGGCAAAGUGAUGCAGCUAUCUGAAGCUUGCCUUGAACUCAGGAAAAUGAUUCUUCCUGAUUCGAGGUCCAGCACUGUAUUCACUGAAUUAUGUAACUAUUUCAUUUAAAAUGCCUACAUUAUAUUAAUUUAUUGUAUUAAUCUCUCCAUUUUGCAUCUGCAACUCUUGUCUGAUUUCAGCCUCUCUCAAGAUAAGCUAAUUUCUUCUAAUUUCAUCACCAGGCUGGAACUUAAACCUUGGAUUCCACCUCUAAUUAGAGGGCAAGAGGAUAGAGGACUAACUGAUCAAAAAGCUUUCCUUUAUGGAAGGCAGAAUUUAAACUUCCAGGACAAUUCAUUCUGCAUGUGCAACUCUGCAUGAUUUCAACUCCAUGGAACAAGAUAUCCCACAGUGUCAGAGUCAGGGAGGGAAAGGAGGGAAUGGCCAUCUUUCUUUUCUCAUUUGUAGCCCCAACAUGUAGCCCAGUAUCUCACACACAAAAGGUGCUUAGUAAAUGUUUACUGAAUUGAACUGAAUUGAAUGCAUAACAUAAAAUACAUAGUUACAAAAGAAUCCAACUAUACUGAAAUAUUAUAAAAAAUUUUUUUUUCAAAAACAAGGUUAUGGAUUUCAGAUUAUGAUACCUUGAGACCCAUUUAACAAAAUAAUUUUUCUUUUCCCUGUCUUUCACUAUACCAGAAGAAUUGGUCUAUUUAUAUAUUUUUUACACCAAAUCAUAGAAUCUCAGAACCAAAUGUUCCAGGAGCCUUACAAUCCAAUUUGUACCCAAAAAGAAUCUUCAUCCAACAUUAUUAACCAAUGGUUAUUGGAAAGGAAUACAUCUUUCAUGCCAUUUUGGGACAACUCAAAUGUCUAGGAAGUUCUUCAUGACAUCAAAUUUAAAAUUGCCUCAACAUCCACACAUUGUUCCUUGUGCUACCCUCUGGAGCCAAACAGGAUAAAUCUGUUCUUGUCCCACAUGAUAUUAUUUUCAUAAGACAACUUAUUUGUCCCUUCUGAGACUUCUUUUUUUCCCAGGCAAAAGAUUCUUUCAACAACUGUAGCAUAUUUCUUCAUGAACCCAAGGUCCUCAAGAUACUUUUCUAUUUUACAUUCCAGAAGAAUCUUCAAGGACAGGGCCACCAUGAGCCAUCUCUUCCAUUUUCUCCUGGUUAAAGUUUGUGGCCUCAUUCCAAUCCCCUAGUUCCAGGGAGGUAGAGCAGAUCCUGUCUGGUUCCUAUACAGACCUUAAGAAGGUCAAGCUCUAAUCCUUCAGCACUUUCUCUGUUCUUACAAAAUUGCUCAGUAAGCUUUUGUCAAAGACUUCCAGAUUCCCACUCUGGUUUCUGGUUAUGAAUUUGGGACUGUAAUUCAUCAAAUGAUCUGUCCAUUUUUCAAUCACCAAUUGCCAAAUGGCAUGAGCUUCUGCAAUUCUAAAUCCUUUCCUGUUCUUUCACAUCUGGGAAAAUAAAGCCUGGAAGUACACUAAUUCAACAGAGAGAACGUGUUAUAGGGUAAAGAUCGAUAGGCUAGACAUCAAGAGGGUCCAGUUUUGAAACCUGGCUCUGUUACUGGCCACCUGUGUGACUGUGAGCAAGUCGUUUACUUGACUAGAAUAGUUUCUUCCAUAAAAUGGGGAUAAAACACCUCAGAGUUCCCACUUACAGGGCAGCUGCCAGGAAAAUGCUAUGUAAACUUUUAAACCCUAAGGAAAUUGGAGGAGAUAGCCUGUGUAAGUUCAACUACUCAUCAGUGGUGCUCAGAUCUAAGGUUCACAUCUUUCCUCUCAAAAUACAUCACAUUUGAAGUAGUCAAAAGGCAUUCUAUAUGGGGAAUGAAUAUAAUGUAGAAAGAUGAUUUCCCCUGAAUAAUUUUCUAAGAAAGUCACAACUUUCCGAAAGCAUAAAAGGAGGAUUUUAAUUUCUUGCCAUUGACUACUUGAUGAUACUGUGAGAAUUAGUGAGCUAGAAAGCAGCUGUCACAAUAAAAAUACAGGAAUAUAUAGUUUUCACAGCUAUGACAGUGAAGAACCAAAUAGUAGAGGUAAUAAACAAAGGAAAAUAAUUUCUUAUUACAUGAAGCUUUAAAUCAUCUGUACUAACAAAAUCAAUGCAGCAAGAAUAAGAACAGAAAGCAUUGAUUUGUAAGAAACAAAAAUUGAUCUUAACAUUUUUGCUAACAAUAUGAUCUCAAAGAAACAUAAAGAAUUAAUAGAAAUAUAAAACAUCCCCAAAGUCUUAGUGUAGUUUAGCCCUUUUAUCAUAUCAUCAAUUAUUCCAGCCCAGCCCCAGCUUUGAAUCAUUCCUAUCAUUCACACCUGUAAAUGCACUGCUAAAGAAGGUGGGGAAAAAUCAUACAAUCACUCUGCUUGUCCAUCACAAAUUUAUAUUACAUAACCUCGACUAGGCCCUCACUGCUUUGGGCAAUUGUACUAAGCUUUCCUUAUCAAAUCACUAUCCCACUUUCCACCUUGUUAUUUCUAAAUCUUAUCUUUCCUCAAACCUUCUAGAACUCUCCUUUCCCUCACAUUCUAGGAUGAGAACUUUGUUUCAUAUUUUACAGAAAAAAAAAAUUGAGUCUAUUUACCCUGAACUCCCUCUUUUCCCUGUUUCCUUUACUCCUAUUAUUCAGAUACCUUCUGUCCCUCUGUUGUACUUCAACCAUCUCAUAUAAUAAAGUGGCCUACCACUUUACCCUAUUUGUUCAAAUGAUCCCAUCUAUCUGCUUCUUCUAACACUGCCUCUGUCAGUCCCAUUCACUUAAAAAAAAUCACUCUCUACAGACUCCUUCCCUACUCUCUGUAAAUUAUGCCUAUGUUUUUCCUAUCCAGAAAAACCCUCAUUUGAUCCUUCCAUCACUGCUAUCAUCCCAUUUAUCUUUUGCCUUUUAUAACUCAACUUCUCAAAAAGGCUGUCUACAAUAGGUGCCUCUACUUUCUCUCCUCUCACUCUCUUCUUAACUCCUUACAAUCAGGCUUCAAACCAUAUCAUCCACUGAAAUCACUCUCUCCUAAGUAAUCAGUUAUCUGAUUGAUUAUUGAUGAUUGAUCAAAUCAAUAACUUUUUAUUAAUCUUGAUUCUCCUUAACACUACUGAUCAGCAUAAGUUUUAGGGACAUCACUCUCUCCUAGUUUUCCUCCUACCUACUUGUCUGCCUGCUACUUCUCUAUCUCCAUCCUCCUCCAGAUCAUGCCUUCUAAUGAUAGAUGUUUCUUAGGAUUUUGUCUGAGUCCUCUUUUCUUCUCCCUCUAUACUUCUUUACCUGAUAAAAGAUCACUUUUCAUGGAUUAAUUUCUAUAUCUAUGCUGAUGAGUUUCAAAUCUACUCAUCCUGCCUAAAUCUCUACUGACCUCUAGUCUUCUCUCAUCUCUAGCUGUAUUUUAGACAUCUCAAAAUGGUUGUCAAGUAAACAUCUUAAAUUCAGUAUGUUCCAAACAGAACUCAUUAUCUUUUUCCUACUUUUACCUUUUCUAUAAUUAUGGAGAGCAAUGCUAUUCUCCAAGUACCUCAGGCUCACAGCCCAGGUGUCAUCCUUAAUUCCUCACUCGUUCUCACAUACACUCAUCCAAUUGGUUGCCAGAGCUUGUCAAUUUCACCUUCAGAACAAUCUCUUGAAUACACCAUCUCUCUCUUCUUCUUCUUCACUCAGAAGCAGACCCUCAUCACCUCACACCUGGAUUAUUGCAAUAACCUGCAGGUGGGUCUUCCUGCCUUAAACCUCUCUUUGCUCCAGUAUAUUCUUCAUUCAGCCAGUAAAAUGAAUUUUCCUAAAAUGCAGGUCUGAUAAAAAAAGUCCAAUGAAUUCCUAUUACCUCCAAGAACAAUUUUUUUUUAAAAAAAUGCUCUAUUUUACAUUCAAAGCCCUUCAUAGCCUGCCCCUCCUAUUUUUUUUUCAGUCUUUUAAUACCCUACUCCCAACAUGAACUCAUUGAUCUAGCAAUAUUAUAUUUCAUCUUUCAGUUUCAGGUAUUUUCUCUUGCCAUCUGGAAUAAUUCUUCCUCCUCUAUUCCAAUACUAUAGUUCCCCUCCCCCCCUGGAAAUGACCUCUAAGAAGGCUUAUUAUUCUAAAUUCAUGGAUUCUAAAUUCUAAAUGGAUAGUAAUCUUUCCUGGAUAAAUUAAUAAUAGUGGCAAUAUCUCCCAAUUUCUGGAGAUCUAAGGAAUCAGUUCACAAAGUCCAUAAAGCUAAAUACAAAGAAAGCAUCCACAAUCCAGGGUUGUUAUGUUUUAGUUAACCUGUUCACCAUGAUUUUGUAUAUACUCAUGUUGUGCAAUUGUUCGAAUGUCAGUGUGCUUUGACUGUGUCAGUUCUGAAAUAUAGAAUAUUAAGGGUUAAUAGCAGAGAACAAAAGAAAACUUAGAAGGAAGCACAGAAAAGUAGGGUAGCUUUGAAAAUGAUGAUUAGUAUUUAUUAUAUAGUUUUUUUAAGUAAAUGGUUUGAAAUAGAAAUUUAUGAUUUUAUAUUGAAUUCUCUUAUGUUAUACUAAAUACAUGGAAAUGUGCCUCUCUGUGUGUCUUUUUGUAUUUAAGUUCAAAAUAAAUAAGUUUUUAAAAAAAGAGUAUAUGACUCAGUAAUGGACUGAUUUCAAGCACUGGUGCCAUCAGCUGUGGGAAGUAGAUCAAGUUGUUUCAACUAUUAACAUCAGUUUCCUCAUCUAUCGAAAGGGGGUAAUGAAUCAUGCCCACUACCUUCUGAGGACUGUAUUGUGGAUCCAAAGUAGC